ACCUCAGGUGCACCACAUGAAUUGCUCCCGCCAGAGGCACAGUGAAGAGCAACACCAGAAGCAGAGCUCGAACUACUAGCAUGAUCAAGCUCUAAAUCAGAACCUGAGGGCUUUAACAAUUUGGUAUUCAUAUGAGCCUUAUCAGAAGCUAAACCCCCAUCAACAGAAAGGGCAUCAUUUUGAGUUUUGGCAUACACAUCUUUCAGGUCAUAGACACCAUCUCCACAAGAGCUUGAUGCAACUUCAGUAGACAUGCAAAGUGCAUUACUCGUGAACCCAUGCAAAUUGGGUUCCCCACUGAUAUCAGAGGCCACCACAUGACAAAGAUCAUUGCAAUUGGAAUUAUCCAUAGCAAGGGAAAGUUUUGAUUCAUGGUUAUCAGGCCCAUUGCUUUGACAGAGAGAACUGAAAUUUUGUUCAAGAGGCAAUACAGCAGAAUGCCCAUUCAACACAUCUUGUACUCUUUGGUGAGCUUUGGAGGAUAUUGACUUGACAACAUCAUACGAGAUAUUACUAGUCUUGGACUCGUGGAGAACAGCAUUCUCUUUUGAAACUUUUACUCCAUGCUCAGAAGCCAAGUCUGGGAAUUGAGAACUAAUGAUUUCAGCAGUGGCAUGCACAGAAUCCUCUCCAACAGAGCCAGGAUUCUGUUCAACAUUGCUAGCUUCUAUUUUCACUUCACAAGAAACCGUUUCAAUAUCACCACUUGAAGCAUGUGGAGAUUCUCCUAAACAAUUAGCAGAUUCAGAUCCAAUAUGAGAUACCGCAGGCAAUGUACAUUCUACCUCUGAUGCAAUAUGCUGGUUUGAUUGCACAUGCAGUUCUUUUUUUGAUGCAUUGUCAGAGGGCAGAAUAAUGGAAGCAGACGGAUGAUUCUGUUGUCCAGUAAUCUUUGCCACUUGUUCAUUAGCAUCACAUGAAGAAUCGAGAGGGGACACAACAUUUUCAUCUCUCUCAUCCAGAUUAUCAGAAAUCAUACCAAAAUUAUCAUUGCAUUUUAUUUUACUCUUGUCCUGAAUUGUGAGAUCAGAUGGCUCAUUCAAGCACCCAUCAGAAAGUAGACCAGAUUCAGCAGUGGCACAUUCACCAAUUACAUCACCAACAAAAGGUACAUUGGUCUCACUGGAACCUUUCAAAUCAAAUCUAGCUGAAGAUCUCUCGACAAAACUACUUGUCGCAUCUUCCGUGGUAUGAAGUUCCCUGAGCUCGGCGGGCUUCAAUCCUUGUACUGGAUUCAUAUUUUCUUCAGGAAACUGAUGCUUCAGUAAUGGUUUCUGUAACAUAUCAACACCAGGGAACACCAUCAUAUUCAUGUUCCUCAAUAUUUUCUUGCUCGAGUCUUCAAUGGGCUUGAAACCAAACACUGAAGUCCAUGUUUCCCUUAGCUCCGAGACAGCUGGUAUGACCAAUUUCUCAACAUCUAAAGAGCAUAGAGCCAUUUCAAUUGCAGUCAGAAGUCGGCGACACAUUCCUUGACGUCUAUAGGUGUAGCGGGUCCCGAUGAAUGGCAUCUCUGCUAAAUGAUUCCCAUGAAUCCUAAUUGAUGCAGCAGCAAUUAGGUCAUCCCCCCUCUCUAGGAUUGCAGUGAAGAAACCACUAUAGUUCAAUCGGUGAAAAUUGGACCGAAAAUUAUAGACAAUAUUGCGAAUCAGAUUGACGCCACUUCUAUGGUCAACCAUGGGCAAAAAGCACUCAUCCAUUAUAUGCAAUGCAACAGCCAACUUUGAGUUGCAUUCAACUUUAUGAGGCUCAAUGAGAGAAAUAUCAGGGCCAACAUCAAAUCGACGAACAAAAGUCCAUGAAAAUCCUUCAUCCAGUUCAUGUUUUACCCCAAAAAGUAUCUGCAGUCUCUUGUAUAACUCUUGGCAUUUCUUCCCACAAAAGGCCGAACUAUCACAAUCAUCACUUAUAGCAUCCUUCACCAAAGCACAGGAUUGGUGAUAUUUCUCCUCACAGAAACGACAUGUAAGUAAUGCAUGUAAUGAAGAAGCAUUAUCAUUCUCUCUCUGAAAUGUAUUCCCACCAGCCAUGCCACAAAAUUUGCACAAACAAUAUAAGCAACGCCAGAGCCCGGAGGGGAAUUUUAUCUCUAGGCAGCUUUGAUGGAAUGUUGAUGGGCAACCAUCACAACAAAUCAGGUCCCCACCAUCUCCACAAAUCCCACAUGUAUCGUCAUUAGGAUCUUCACCAUCAAUAUCAAUGAAAUGGAACCCUUUACGAGAAGAAUCAUCUUGUUUAAGCCAUGAAUCUAGCUGGCACUGCAGGAGUGAAGAUCCAGUCUCUAAAUAUAUAUUUUUGAAUGGCUGACUGAAUUUGCCACCUGAAUGAGCCUCAAAUUCUGCAAUUGUAAAAAUUUUACUACAGCAGUCACAACGAAUGCCAUCUGUUGUAAUCCUACCCUUCAUCACAGCUCGUGUUUUCCUCUGUUUCAAGCAAUGCACCUUCUCAUCUAGCCGGACAGUGCCCAGAUCAAUCAUCCAGGCAAGCACAGUUCGCUUCCCACUAUACAGCAUAUAGCCAUCACUUUCAGACUCUUUGCCCUCUUGAGAAUUUCGAACCAUCAGAGCACAUCGCUUUCUACCAUGUGUUUCAAGUCGCUUCCGACCUCUGACAGACACUGCUGUUUCCUGGCCCGUUGUACAGGCUAAAUCGUUCUGUCUGCAAUGCAAGGAUCUCAGUUUUGUUCUUCCCUUCAACUUCUUAGAGUUGACACCGGCCACAGCACCCAGUUUUCUUUUGCACAGUUUCCACUUUUUCCUUCUAGUAACUACUUCAGUUUCUUUCUCACCCUUCUCUUGGCUCCAUUUCCUUUUCUUUUUAUUUUUGUCUGAUCGUACCUUCUUCAUUACUUUAGUAAGUAUGCUAAGUUCCUCAUCUGGAAUUGGAGUAAAUUUGAAAUCAGACUUACAGGUAUUUGAAUCACCUUUUCCAUCUUCAUAAUGCUUCUUAAGCACCCGAUAAGCCAAGGUGAUGGACCAGUGAGUCCUUCCUUCAGGAUUAACAUACACUGCAUCCUUGUAUUCUCUACCAAUCCUUGGCCUAUAUUG
rnacentral:misc_RNA from 1 species